rnacentral:lncRNA from 1 species
CAGGCUUGUAAAGCGCAAUGUGUUAUAUGUGUGUGUCGUACAUUUUUCUCUAAAUCUGUCUGCAUUUUACAGCGUGUUGUUGAUGUUGUUUCCUUAAGCAAGACACUUCACCCACGUUGCACUCUUGUUCUUUUCCUCAGGCCGGAGUCGCCGCUAAAGCCAAUAACUUCUUCGACCGGAAUAAAAAGUACAGAGGGGUGGCAUGGAGCAUCGGAGGAGAUGCAAGUUUAGACACUGUGACCACAUUACCGAGUGAGUUUUCCUUCACAGUUGUGCAGGUUUACGUUAGAACUAUUGUCGUCUGAGAUCUGCAAAUGCACAUAUUCUUUUUCCAUUUCACUUUCUAGACAUUUUAAAGAAGUUCAACCCCAAACUAGUGGGUUUCUC